CUUUCUUCAAGUCAUAAGUACAUAGGGAUGAAGCUCACUUAUAUUAACAGUUUAGGCAUGCAACUUAAUCAAGAAAAUGCACUUUUGCUCUUCCUUAUCAUAACUUGUUGACCUCAGAAAUGUUCUUUUUAUUGCAACGCAUUUAAUUAAAGAAUGCUGAGUUUUGUUUCACAUUCUUUUCUCGAAAGAUCUUUGAAUGUCUUUGAUAAAUCCUGGAAGGGUUCUUUUUUUCCCCCCCUUCUUUUUGGUCAAAUGUACUAAAAAGGAAUUGUCUGCCCUGCUCUUCCGACCAUUGGUCUAUAAGACACCAACUAAAUAGCCAAAAGCCUACCAGAAUAAGAUAUGAAGCAUUCCACGAAGCAUUACUUACACUGCAGUGGGACAGAAAAAAUCAGAAAAAUUCUACAGUAAUCUAGUAGAAAGCAGGGAUUACCUGCAGCUUCUCAUGGUGGAAUGCAGGAGUAAUUAACCUUCUACGCUUGGCCCAUUUCUCUCCUUCCAAGGUUGAGACUCCCAGCGUUAAAAGGUCCACAAGAGGGUUCUGUGGAGGCUUUUGGAAGUGACCAUCCUUGUCAUUCAGUAUCAGCCUUAUCAGCUCUGCCUUCCCCAUUAUCAGUCUCGGCCUUGUUCCAGUCCAACUCAGGCACACUUUUCCUAUUUUAGCAAACCAAGCCACCAUUAAUCACAAUUCAAUGGAGCCAUAGUUUUUAUUUUUCUUGGCAGAUGUAAUUGUCGAGCUUGUAAUAACAUGCUGAAGUUCUACUAUUUUUCAUUUGGCAUGGUACAUUUCAACUUAUUGUCCACACAAGAUUUCGCAUGCAAAUAACUAAAAAGUUUCACCCUCAUAACUGUCUAUGUAAAUUAAUUGUUAUUUAUUCCUUUUAAACACAGAAUAAUAUCCUUAGUUUUAUAUAACCAGAUUUGUGUCACACUAUCUAUAAGGUCGUGUAUCAUAUAAUAGCUUCUAGAUUUGUUCCCUCUUAUAGUAAAUUCUUGGAUGUUGAAAUGGGAAGAUCCAUGAAAAGUUACUCCUAAAGGGCUAGAGAAACUUCAAGUACUUAAUGAUUGUGGAAAAAAAGACAGAAGAAGAAUCCAAGAAUGGAAAAAAGUUGAUCAGACCGUAUGCUUGCACAAUUUGAUGAAGGGAAGGGUCGACACGUGGGACAAUCUCGUGGUUUAAAGACAUGGGGAUGGCCCAUGCUUCUAUCCUCAGCUUCUUGCUAACUGGCUCGUCUCCAUAAAGAAAAUUGUAAGAAGUUCCUCCGAUUCCCUGCUGCUUCAACUGUUUCUCUAUGAUUUUGGGCUUCCACCAUAGAGAAAAGACAAGUUUUAGGGCACAAAAGGAAGCUAAAAGAGCCGAAAAGGAAGCCAAUAUGGCCAUAAAAUUGAAUGCUUCCAUGGAGCUGAUUUCUUUCCCGAUGGCUGCAGCUUUGGAUGCUACUGAGCUUUGCUCACUGCUUCAUUCAAUUUAUAGAGUUCUGUUGCAAAGAUUAACCACAUAGCUAGGGACUGAACUGAAAAGAUUAAAAAAGGAUUGGAGAAGAAGUUAAAGUGGUGGCUGUGAUUUGUUGUGAAUUGGACUGAUGGGACAUGUAAGCCAAUUGCAUUGCAUGAAAUUUUGGCACCUCUCCUUCCAUUGAGACAAUUAUUUGGCCCAUUUCUCUCCUUCCAAGGUUGAGACUCCCAGCGUUAAAAGGUCCACAAGAGGGUUCUGUGGAGGCUUUUGGAAGUGACCAUCCUUGUCAUUCAGUAUCAGCCUUAUCAGCUCUGCCUUCCCCAUUAUCAGUCUCGGCCUUGUUCCAGUCCAACUCAGCACACUUUUCCUAUUUUAGCAAACCAAGCCACCAUUAAUCACAAUUCAAUGGAGCCAUAGUUUUUAUUUUUCUUGGCAGAUGUAAUUGUCGAGCUUGUAAUAACAUGCUGAAGUUCUACUAUUUUUCAUUUGGCAUGGUACAUUUCAACUUAUUGUCCACACAAGAUUUCGCAUGCAAAUAACUAAAAAGUUUCACCCUCAUAACUGUCUAUGUAAAUUAAUUGUUAUUUAUUCCUUU
rnacentral:lncRNA from 1 species